GAAGCGGCAAUAGCUCAAAUUUGAAAUCUGGCGCCUUUGGGUGUCCGAGUUGUAAUUUGUAGAGGAUGUUUCGGUAUUAACUCUAGUUUAAGUCCCUUGGAACAGGGUGUCAUAGAGGGUGAGAAUCCCGUAUGUGACUAGAUGUUUUUGCUAUGUGAAACUCCUUCAAAGAGUCGAGUUGUUUGGGAAUGCAGCUCUAAUUGGGAGGUAAAUUUCUUCUAAAGCUAAAUACUGGCCAGAGACCGAUAGCGCACAAGUAGAGUGAUCGAAAGAUGAAAAGCACUUUGGAAAGAGAGUUAAAAAGUACGUGAAAUUGUUGAAAGGGAAGCGCUUGCAAUCAGACCUGCUUGCAGUUGUUCAUCUAAGCUUUCGGGCUUAGUGCACUCUUCUGCAAGUAGGCCAGUAUCAGUUUAGGCGGUUGGAUAAAGAAUUCAGGAAUGUAGCUUCCCUCGGGGAGUGUUAUAGCCUGUUUUGUAAUGCAGCCAGCCUAGAUUGAGGACCGCGCUUCGGCUAGGAUACUGGCGUAAUGGUUGCAAGCGGCCCGUCUUGAAACACGGACCAAGGAGUCUAACAUCUGUGCGAGUGUUUGGGUGUCAAACCCAUGCGCGUAAUGAAAGUGAACGGAGGCGGGAACCUUUUAGGUGCACCGUCGACCGAUCCUGAUGUCUUCGGAUGGAUUUGAGUAAGAGCAUAGCUGUUGGGACCCGAAAGAUGGUGAACUAUGCUUGAAUAGGGUGAAGCCAGAGGAAACUCUGGUGGAGGCUCGCAGCGGUUCUGACGUGCAA
rnacentral:rRNA from 1 species